rnacentral:rRNA from 1 species
AUUGAACGCUGGCGGAAUGCUUUACACAUGCAAGUCGAACGGCAGCAUAGGUGCUUGCACCUGAUGGCGAGUGGCGAACGGGUGAGUAAUACAUCGGAACGUGCCCAGUCGUGGGGGAUAACGUAGCGAAAGUUACGCUAAUACCGCAUACGAUCUACGGAUGAAAGCGGGGGACCGUAAGGCCUCGCGCGAUUGGAGCGGCCGAUGUUAGAUUAGGUAGUUGGUGGGGUAAAGGCUCACCAAGCCGACGAUCUAUAGCUGGUCUGAGAGGAUGAUCAGCCACACUGGGACUGAGAUACGGCCCAGACUCCUACGGGAGGCAGCAGUGGGGAAUUUUGGACAAUGGGCGCAAGCCUGAUCCAGCCAUUCCGCGUGCAGGACGAAGGCCUUCGGGUUAUAAACUGCUUUUGUACAGAACGAAAAGCCUUGGGUUAAUACCCUGGGGUCAUGACGGUACUGUAAGAAUAAGCACCGGCUAACUACGUGCAAGG